UACGUAGGGGGCAAGCGUUGUCCGGAAUUAUUGGGCGUAAAGAGCGUGUAGGCGGUCCGGUAAGUCAGCUGUGAAAGUCAAGGGCUCAACCCUUGAAUGCCGGUUGAUACUGUCGGGCUAGAGUCCGGAAGAGGCGAGUGGAAUUCCCGGUGUAGCGGUGAAAUGCGUAGAUAUUGGGAGGAACACCGGUGGCGAAGGCGGCUACCUGGACCGGUUCUGACGCUGAUGCGCGAAAGCGUGGGGAGCAAACAGG
rnacentral:rRNA from 1 species